rnacentral:tRNA from 1 species
UCCCUGGUGGUCCAGAGGUUAGGAUUCUGGGCUUUCACUGCUGGGGCCCGAGUUCAACUCCUGGUCAGGGAA